rnacentral:rRNA from 1 species
GAUGAACGCUGGCGGCGUGCCUAAUACAUGCAAGUCGAGCGAAUGGAUUAAGAGCUUGCUCUUAUGAAGUUAGCGGCGGACGGGUGAGUAACACGUGGGUAACCUGCCCAUAAGACUGGGAUAACUCCGGGAAACCGGGGCUAAUACCGGAUAAUAUUUUGAACUGCAUGGUUCAAAAUUGAAAGGCGGCUUCGGCCGUCACUUAUGGAUGGACCCGCGUCACAUUAGCUAGUUGGUGAGGUAACGGCUCACCAAGGCAACGAUGCGUAGCCGACCUGAGAGGGUGAUCGGCCACACUGGGACUGAGACACGGCCCAGACUCCUACGGGAGGCAGCAGUAGGGAAUCUUCCGCAAUGGACGAAAGUCUGACGGAGCAACGCCGCGUGAGUGAUGAAGGCUUUCGGGUCGUAAAACUCUGUUGUUAGGGAAGAACAAGUGCUAGUUGAAUAAGCUGGCACCUUGACGGUACCUAACCAGAAAGCCACGGCUAACUACGUGCCAGCCGCCGCCGUAA